rnacentral:rRNA from 1 species
UGUUUCUAGCGGCGGACGGGUGAGUAACGCGUGAGCAACCUGCCUUUAUCAGGGGGAUAACGCAUCGAAAGAUGUGCUAAUACCGCGUAAGACCACAGCCUCACAUGGGGCAGGGGUCAAAGGAGCAAUCCGGAUAAAGAUGGGCUCGCGUCCGAUUAGCUAGUUGGUGAGAUAACAGCCCACCAAGGCGACGAUCGGUAGCCGACCUGAGAGGGUGAUCGGCCACAUUGGAACUGAGAGACGGUCCAGACUCCUACGGGAGGCAGCAGUGGGGAAUAUUGGGCAAUGGGCGAAAGCCUGACCCAGCAACGCCGCGUGAGGGAAGAAGGGUUUCGGCUCGUAAACCUCUGUCCUAUGGGACGAAGGAAGUGACGGUACCAUAGGAGGAAGCCCCGGCUAACUACGUGCCAGCAGCCGCGGUAAUACGUAGGGGGCGAGCGUUGUCCGGAAUGAUUGGGCGUAAAGGGCGCGUAGGCGGCCUGCUAAGUCUGAAGUGAAAGUCCUGCUUUCAAGGUGGGAAGUGCUUUGGAUACUGGUGGGCUGGAGUGCAGGAGAGGAAAGCGGAAUUACCGGUGUAGCGGUGAAAUGCGUAGAGAUCGGUAGGAACACCAGUGGCGAAGGCGGCUUUCUGGACUGAAACUGACGCUGAGGCGCGAAAGCGUGGGGAGCAAAC